rnacentral:tRNA from 1 species
UGUUUUCUUCUUCUCAGUGUAAAUGAGUUACUUCAAGCUUUCUUUUCUCCCUUAGUACACU